GCUCUAGUGGUGUAGUGGUCAACACGUCAGCAGAAUGCAGAGAGGAAAGAGAAGGCUCAAUCAGCGCCGAAUAGGCGCUGUUGCAAAACCUCUAUAGUCCUGGUUUCAACAACAGCUGUAGACCUGGGUUCGAUUCCCAGCUGGGGCA
rnacentral:tRNA from 1 species